rnacentral:rRNA from 1 species
UACGUAGGGGGCUAGCGUUAUCCGGAAUUACUGGGCGUAAAGGGUGCGUAGGUGGUUUCUUAAGUCAGAGGUGAAAGGCUACGGCUCAACCGUAGUAAGCCUUUGAAACUGGGGAACUUGAGUGCAGGAGAGGAGAGUGGAAUUCCUAGUGUAGCGGCGAAAUGCGUAGAUAUUAGGAGGAACACCAGUUGCGAAGGCGGCUCUCUGGACUGUAACUGACACUGAGGCACGAAAGCGUGGGGAGCAAACAGG